ACUGAUCCUGGGAGAAUAAUACAAGGCACGUACAUGGUUUUUAAGAUUACUGUGGGCUAUAGCAAAGGAGUUUAAAAGAAGGCACUGUAUUUGUGCUGUCACGUAAGGCGUUUGUUAAUACGAGUUUCUGUGGUUCCAGGAUCCUGCCUCCGCUAGCCUUGUGAUAUGUGCUGACGGGCGCCUUACAGAGUCCACGGUACCCACUCAUAGGACCACAGCUGUGAUUCAGCGCCACGAAAGACGAAAAAGCAAAUCCUCCAAGUGGAAAUGAGAGGACACGCGGGCAGUCCCCCGUUCUUAAAUGGCACGUGUCCUAAGAAUCUGUUUCAAUGGGAUUAUUUUAAACUCAGCUCCUCAUAUUACAAUAGUAUUUCCAGUCAUUAACUACAUGACCAUAUGCAACCUACAAACACCUGAAAAAUUCUACUAAAAACUGUAUUUUAACUAAACUUAACCAUUCUUAAGGUGUGUUACCUUUUUUUCCCUUUUUUUUUAAUUUUAGAGAAAGUGUGAGCAGGAGAGGGACAAAGAGGAAGAAUCUGAAGCAGGUUCCAUCUCAGCACAGAGCCCGACUCAGGGCUCCAUCCCACACCCCUGGGAUCAUGACCUGAGCCGAAAUCAAGAUUGGACACUCAACCAACUGAGCCACUCAGGUGCAUCUUUUAUGUAUUAAUUAAGUUUUUGGUGGUUUUUGUUUUUUUAAGUUUUAUUUUUGUUUCUUUUGAGAGAGAGAGCACCGGGGAGGGACAGACACAGAAUCCCAAACAGACUCAACACCAUCAGUGCAGAGCCUGAUGCGGGGCCCAAACCUCCAAACACCAUUGGUAUCUAUAUAAACACGCAAGAAAUGAAUCACUGUGUGGUCGAGAGCCUUAUCUUGAGUGGAGGAAUCCUUGAGCGGGGAGAGGAAAGCCGCCGGGCUGCCCACCCGUCUGUUCCUGAGACAGGCCCUCCGGGCGCAGAUCCUGCCCCGCUUGCGCUCCAGGCUCUGGUGCUGCCGCCUCAGCUCGGCCGCCUCCAGGUUCUCGUCGCCAGGCAGCCCCGCCACACAAGCCAUGGCCUCAAGCUCCUCUGCACUCUCACAUGGGUCGUAAUAGACAACUUCCCCCUCUUUAUCUAGAAGCAUAGUGGUGACAUUUAAAACGUGUUUGGUGUAAAAAAUAACACAUGAAGAUACCUUCAGUGUAAGGGAAGUACGGGAGACUUGUAACCCCGCCACCCAGGGAGAGCUGCUGUUAGCACCCGUGGGGGGUGGGGGGGUGUAGACACACACACACACACACACACACACACACACACACACACACACCAGUAACAGUGCUAAGAGGACAUUUUCCAUGUGAUGGAAAGAGAACUUCAAUGGCAACACAGUAUUCUCUCAUUGAAGCACUCUGUACCGUUAGAAAUAUUCCAAGUUCCAUUAUUAUCAAAUUCACCGUGAUGAACAUCUGAACAUAAAGUCUUUGUGUACAUUUUUAUUACUUCCUUAGAGAUGAAUAGUCAAGGCUCUUGGCAGCUAGCACUCGAUCGCCCUCCAGAAAGGAAACCCACAUUCUGCCAGCAGUGUCUCAUUAAGGUGCCUUAAAGACAUUUAAUCGUGAUUACGUACACAUCUUUUAAAAAUACACGCUAAUUGUGACAAAUCCUAGCUCUGCAGAACUAAAUAAGAUAGAAAGUGAAAUUUUCUUCUUCCUUUCCCAAACCUUUGGGAGCCCAUUCCCAAAGGAAAAAAUUAUGAACAAUUUGGCAUGCAUCUUUCUGGAUUAACUCUUUCAGUAGGAUUUUUUCCUAAAUAUGUAAAAUGCUUAUAACCUCAAAUUACUGCAAAGUUUUUUGAAUACUCAGGAUUCAAUUAAAUGUUCAGAUUUGGUAUGGCUUAACCCAGUGAACCACCCAGGAGCCCCAAAGAGAUUUUUUUUUUUUUUCACUCACAAACAUACUAAAAGAAAACAUAAGUAAAAUAUUGAUAUAAUUUGGGGAUGAGGAGCAUUUUGCCAAGCAUAACAACAAACACGGGAAGACUUCACCAAAAGCAGAUAGGACUUCAUAAAAAUUAAGUAUUUCUGCAAGGCAAGAGAAAGCAAAUGACAAGGAGAAGUUUUUGGCAACAUUUGACAGAUACUAGAGUAAUAGCCUUAGUACGGAAAGGGAACAUUCCAAGAAAAAUGGGCAAAGACCAAGGAUAGACAGUUAAUGAAAGAAAUACAGACAGCCAGUACACAUACAAAAAUGUGCCUACUACACUUUUUUUUUUUAAUUUAUUAUUAAGAGACAGAGUCAGAGCAUGAGCAGGGGGGAGGCAGACAGGAGGGAAGACACAGAAUCCGAAGCAGGCUCCAGGCUCUGAGCUGUAAGCACAGAGCCUGACAUGGGGCUCAAACUCACAAACCGUGAGAUGAUGGCCUGAGCCUAAGUCGGAAGCUUAACUGGCUGAGCCACAGGCGCCCCAUGCCUGCUACACUUAUAAUUAAAGAAAUGAAAACUACAAGACGCCAUUUUCUUCUAUCAGGGAGGCAAGAAUUGGAAAGAAUGCUGUAAGUAUGGGGAAACAGGUGCUUUCAUAAUCUGCUGCGGGGAGCAUCUUUCUGCACAACCUCAACCUACAAGGCCAUUGUAUAGUAUGGAAUUUAGAAGUCAGAAAAUAAUAGAGGCCAGGAAAAAAAUGUAUCCUGAAGGACUAUUAUAGUGUAAGCAGGUAUGUGUCAAGAUGUAAAAUUUGCACUGUCCUUGACCCAGCAAUUCCAUCUUUGGAAAUUUAUUCCAAAGAAACACUCUCUCUUACAUGCAAAGACGUGUAGAGGAAGGCUCCCCACUACACUACCGUUUGCAAGAGUGAAAAACGAAAUCACGGUACGUACACAUAAUGAAUGCUGUGCAGUCAUUAAAAUUUUUCAUGUUUUUCUUACUCAAAUGGAAAGAUGGUUUUUAGGUAUUAAAUGAAAAGAGGCUACUCUACAGGGUAUACAGUUUUGGUUUAGAAAUUGAUAUUUACUUAUACACAUCAGCAUAUAACCAAGGCUAUGUCAGGAUCUCUAGAUGAUGGAACUGGGGUGAUAACAGUUUCCUUGGUUUUGCUGUGUGUUUAAUGAUGAAUUUAUCAUCUGGAAAACAAAAAUGCUAAAAGGAAACUUCAGGAAAUUUCAGUAAAUGUUUUAGACAACUUAUAAGAAGUGGUAACACAGUCUUGGUAUUGUCUUGAAGGCGUGAUUUAAACAUUUUAACAUACCCAUUUAAGUAUAAAUCUUACCUCUUAUAAGCCUUUUAAUUGAGUCCAACUGUAUAAUAAGCAGUAUUUCUUCAUAUUUUAAUAUCUCGAAUUUAACCUCAUACAGUUCUAAUUGGACUUCAUAAUAUUGUAUUUCUAAUUCAUCAACAACGUCCAUAUUUUUUUCUUGUUCUGGAAGAUCUUCCAUCUGGUUUUCAUGGAAAAAGUAAGAGCAGGUUAAAAUAACUAGCACAUUAAAAGCAAACAUUAGAUGCAUUUGAGCACUAUUCUAUUCUUUGCUUAAUACCAAAUAUAAAACUAACAGAGGAAACCUCGUUCCAUUUCAUUUAAUAAAACAAAAAUGCCUUACUUGAUGUUUGUUACAAAUAUUUUAACUUACCCUUGAAACAUAUGAAAAUACUUAGGCUUUCGAGAAAAAUAAAUGGCCGUGAGGCAUUUGCAGCAUUUCCUGCUUCAAACUCCUACCAUUAGAGGAAGAAAUUUAAGUGGCUAUGAUCCUGGGAUAAAGUACCUUUUUAUUGCCCUCAAGUCAUGCUGAAACACUGCUUGAUUGAUUUAAGUAUCUCAUCUACUUCAGGGCUGAGCUCAGUGUUCUUAUCAGGAGCACCCUACAAUAUAAUAUUUCAAAAACAUCUUGACCGAAAGGAAGUUUCCUGCCAACCUCCCGCGGUCAACAUUCGCAGCCAGUAGAAGAUGUGCAGUGGGUGCAGCAAGGAAGCUCUAACUGUGUUUGGAAAGAAAGGCACUACCCAAAGGUGUGUUUUUCUGUUACUUUAGAUUUUGUUUAAGUUUAUUUAUUUUUGAGAGAGAGCAAAGGAGCGAGGGGCAGAGAGAAAGAGAGAAUCCCAAGCAGGCUCUGCCCUGUCAACAGAGGGCCUGACUUGGGGAUUGAACCCACAAACUGCUAGAUCAUGACGUGAGCCGAAACCAAGAGUCAGACCGACUGAGCCACCCAGGCGCCCUUAAGAGUAUGUUUUUUUAAACCAAGUUUCAUUUAUCUUUGUCUUACCUUUCCCUGAAUUUCCGCUCUUUUGUGAUUUAAACACAACUCCUUGGCCCUCAUGAGCUGCAGGGUCUCUUGGGCCAACAUCAACUUGAGUUUUUCUAACCUGGGAGCUGCCGUGGCCCAGGCAGCUUGGCCAAACCUCUUCUCAUCCUGUUCCAUUUGUUUCUGCAUUCCUGUCGGAUUGGAAUUAAUAAAAUAAAACGUAAUUACAACUCACCAAAAGGGAGAAAAAUGUAUCCCGAGCUAAUUCUUUGUUUACUGCCUCCCACGUUACUUACAAAACAUCCUUUUUAAAAGAAAAUUUGUUUUAUUUUAAUGACCUUUUAUUGUCACAAAAAUAAAACAUACAUAAAAAUUUUAGAUACUUCAUUUUAAAAAAAGAGAAAAAUAAUAAAUCCUGAAUCUCACCUAGUAGAGGUGAGGAUUUCUUGCAUUUUGGUGCAUAUACUUCCAGACUGUUUCUAUGUCCGUCCGGCUAGACAGGCAGUUUGAACCAAAACCAAAAAAUAAAAACACCCCACAAGAUCAUCCUUCUUUUUUGUAUUUUAUUUAUUUCACUUGAUAGAUAGUGGAAGUGUUACCAUUCACAAAAAACAGAUCUGGAGAAGCAUGCGUAAUAGCUACAUGGCAUUUCACUUUACGGAUGUAACUUAAACUGGGAGACACUCGGUGUCCUGUCUGGAGCCAUCAUCAACAACUUACAGAUGAGAUAGAGGUCCUUGUCCCCCACCCCCAUCCCUGCCGUCUGCCGCAUUCUUUCCCACCAUGUUCCCCUGUUCAUCUCUGCUCCAGCCCCGAGACUCGACGUUCCUCACACUUGCCAAGCUCCCUCCAGCCAGAGCACCUUUGUGAGUGCCCUUUCCUCUUCCUGGAACACUCUUCCCUCACUGUGAUGCUCUCUCCGCUCCCACCGACCCUCCAGAUAGAUAUCAGGGCAAGGGCUAUUUCCCAGAGGCCUUCACUGACCUAGUGAAGGAGCCUCGUUCCUCUCGGUGGCUCUCAGAGCCCCGUGCUUCUCUCCUUCAUGUGGCCAGUUGUUAACUGCCAUUCUCCAUGUGUUUGAGUGAAUAUAUAAAUAGGAUUUCUCUGCCCUCACCAGACCGUGCAGUGUCUGUUUAUACUUCUCCUUACACUGAAUCCCCAGCUCCUAGAAAACACAGCGCCUGGUGUUCAAGAAGCACUCAGAUGUUUUUUGAACAAAAUGAAAAUGACACAUCUUAGAAUAGAAUUUUAAAUUGUUACCUGCUAACGCUUUUACUGUUUCUUUAAAAUAAUUCACUGUGAUGUCCUGAAUAGAGACUACAGCUUCUUCAGCCCUUCUGCUCCAUUCUUUGGCUUCCUUCUGCAAGGCCACUAUCCUUUUAGGACCCAGAUCAUCCUCAUUCAAGGAUUUC